GGUCUCAGUUGCCAGGCAAUCAAGCCAAGGUGGGCUUGCCCCUGCAGGUCGUUCCCCCUGGAAGGAUCUGGGGAGGAGUAAAGGGGAACCUGGCAGGUUUCAGUUUUGGGAUUGGGUCUCAGUGGGUCUCCUGCUACCCCUCACCUUCCCUAUGGUAGGGACCAGACCUUCUGUCUAGACUGAGGGGAGGGACAAUGGUCAAGGUACACGUCUAUUUUCCUCCCCGAUUAUGGAACUGGGACUCCACCUUCUGACUAGACUGAGGAGAGGGACAAUGGUCAAGGUACGUGUUUACUUUCCUCCCCUGAUUAUGGAACUGGACUUCUCGUCUCCCACAGAUUUGGGCUCACCUUACAGGAGGUGGCCUCACAUAUCUACAUCAGAGGGAGCCAAGAUGAGUCCCCAGGGCUGCAAACUAGAGCUGGCUUGUAGUAUGUGGUCAAGAAGUGUUUAUAGAUGGCUGAAGGGCUGAAGGGCUGAAUGGAUGAAUGAAUCCAGGGUCAAUUUGGAAACAUACCAGGGCUCUCUUGGGCUAUCUAAGCCCAUAGAGGACACCCCUAGGCUUCGGCUCACCCCAAGCGCACAUCCGGGCUCAUCAACACACACGCACACACUCAUACACACAAACACACCCCAAGGGAAACUUCUGGGCCAGAGGCAAAGCCAGGACUCAGACCUAGGCUCCAGGUCAGCUCUGCAGCCUCCAGGGGAGGGGGCAGCAGGCUCACUCUCGGAAGCUGUCAGCCAACUGGUGGCAGUCCAGCUCCCCCUUCGGCUCCAGGCCCCCUGGAAGCUUCACUCCCGUCUUCCGGUCCACACACCAGCACUUGCCGCGCUGCCCAUCCAGGGCCGGGUGGCACUGCCAAGACAAGGGUGUGAGAGGUCAGGUUCCCAGGCAGCCACCCCCGAUCCCAGCCCAGCCCCCAGAUCAGACAGUGGUUCCCAACUGGUCUCUGAGGGUGGAGGCUCUCUUGGGCAUGAGUCCUCUGAGCUCACUGGAGUGGAGCAAAGGCGGCGAAGAAGGAAAGGCCCAAAGAGUCUGGGAAGGCAGAGCUCUGAGGAAGUUCUGUAG
rnacentral:lncRNA from 1 species